rnacentral:rRNA from 1 species
GACGAACGCUGGCGGCGUGCUUAACACAUGCAAGUCGAACGGAAAGGCCCUGCUUUUGUGGGGUGCUCGAGUGGCGAACGGGUGAGUAACACGUGAGUAACCUGCCCUUGACUUUGGGAUAACUUCAGGAAACUGGGGCUAAUACCGGAUAGGAGCUCCUGCUGCAUGGUGGGGGUUGGAAAGUUUCGGCGGUUGGGGAUGGACUCGCGGCUUAUCAGCUUGUUGGUGGGGUAGCGGCUUACCAAGGCUUUGACGGGUAGCCGGCCUGAGAGGGUGACCGGCCACAUUGGGUCUGAGAUACGGCCCAGACUCCUACGGGAGGCAGCAGUGGGGAAUAUUGCACAAUGGGCGGAAGCCUGAUGCAGCAACGCCGCGUGCGGGAUGACGGCCUUCGGGUUGUAAACCGCUUUCGCCUGUGACGAAGCGUGAGUGACGGUAAUGGGUAAAGAAGCACCGGCUAACUACGUG